ACAGCAGUCCAAGAAGAGGAGAAGCAUACCUUUAUCAGUUUAAUAUCUGAUAUGUGGGUCAUCGGCCCACUCGAUAUUAAUCUUAUUUUUUGUGGGGAAAAGCUCAUCACAAUAGCUUGCUAUUUGGGCUUUUAAGUGUCGCCUUGGUGUUGCACUACUGCCUUGGCUUGGUGCACCCCUC
rnacentral:snRNA from 1 species